rnacentral:rRNA from 1 species
GUCCACGCCGUAAACGAUGAUCACUAACAGUAUGGAGAUUCGACCCUCUGUGUUGUAAAGCUAACGCGUUAAGUGAUCCGCCUGGGGAGUACGGGCGCAAGCUUAAAACUCAAAGGAAUUGACGGGGACCCGCACAAGCAGUGGAGGAUGUGGUUUAAUUCGACGCUAAGCGAAAAACCUUACCGAGGUUUGACAUCCUGCUAAGUCUAAGGAAACUAAGACGUGCCUUCGGGAAAGCAGUGACAGGUGCUGCAUGGCCGUCGU